GGGGAAUAUUGGACAAUGGGCGCAAGCCUGAUCCAGCCAUGCCGCGUGAGUGAUGAAGGCCUUAGGGUUGUAAAGCUCUUUCACCCGGGACGAUAAUGACGGUACCGGGAGAAGAAGCCCCGGCUAACUUCGUGCCAGCAGCCGCGGUAAUACGAAGGGGGCUAGCGUUGUUCGGAAUCACUGGGCGUAAAGCGCACGUAGGCGGACCGUUAAGUCGGGGGUGAAAUCCUGGGGCUCAACCCCAGAACAGCCCUCGAUACUGGCGGUCUCGAGUCCGGAAGAGGUGAGUGGAACUGCCAGUGUAGAGGUGAAAUUCGUAGAUAUUGGCAAGAACACCAGUGGCGAAGGCGGCUCACUGGUCCGGUACUGACGCUGAGGUGCGAAAGCGUGGGGAGCAAAC
rnacentral:rRNA from 1 species